ensembl:snoRNA SNORA31 small nucleolar RNA, H/ACA box 31
CAGCAUCUUCUGAUAGACCUGAAGCCUCUCUCAGUGGCAUCUUGGUUUGCAAUCAGAUGCAACAGCGAGAUUUCCUUGUGCUUUCUGCCGGUCCUGUUACAGGGUGGAUUGAAUAGUGGAAAACAAUA